rnacentral:misc_RNA from 1 species
AAGUCGUAACAAGGUUUCCGUAGGUGAACCUGCGGAAGGAUCAUUAUCGAAUACAAGGCCCCGCGCUGUGCGUCCUCGCACGCCUCGGCUCUUACAUUCUACCUCACACCUGUGCACCUUCGGGCCGUCUAAACAGCGGCCCGCCUUUCUAUAUACUACUAUGUGUCGAAUGUCAUAAUUGUGUGUAACACUUAACAACUUUCAACAACGGAUCUCUUGGCUCCC